CGCUGGCGGCGUGCUUAACACAUGCAAGUCGAACGAGAAGAGAUGAGAAGCUUGCUUCUUAUCAAUUCGAGUGGCAAACGGGUGAGUAACGCGUAAGCAACCUGCCCUUCAGAUGGGGACAACAGCUGGAAACGGCUGCUAAUACCGAAUACGUUCUUUUUGUCGCAUGGCAGAGAGAAGAAAGGGAGGCUCUUCGGAGCUUUCGCUGAAGGAGGGGCUUGCGUCUGAUUAGCUAGUUGGAGGGGUAACGGCCCACCAAGGCGAUGAUCAGUAGCCGGUCUGAGAGGAUGAACGGCCACAUUGGGACUGAGACACGGCCCAGACUCCUACGGGAGGCAGCAGUGGGGAAUCUUCCGCAAUGGACGAAAGUCUGACGGAGCAACGCCGCGUGAACGAUGACGGCCUUCGGGUUGUAAAGUUCUGUUAUACGGGACGAAUGGCGUAGCGGUCAAUACCCGUUACGAGUGACGGUACCGUAAGAGAAAGCCACGGCUAACUACGUG
rnacentral:rRNA from 1 species